rnacentral:rRNA from 1 species
CAGUCGCCACGGUAAUACGAGGGGUGCAAGCGUUAUUCGGAUUGAUUGGGUGUAAAGGGUGUGCAGACGGCUUAUUAAGUCACUUGUUAAAUUCUUCGGCCUAACUGAAGGUCUGCAAGUGAUACUGAUGAGCUAGAGGGUGGAAGAGAGAAGUGGAAUUCUCGGAGUAGCGGUAAAAUGCGUAGAUCUCGAGAGGAACACCAAUGGCGAAGGCAGCUUCUUGGUCCAUUCCUGACGUUCAUACACGAAAGCGUGGGGAGCAAAUGGGAUUAGAUACCCCGGUAGUCCCUGUCUCUUAUAA